rnacentral:rRNA from 1 species
UACGUAGGGUGCGAGCGUUGCCCGGAUUUAUUGGGCGUAAAGGGCGCGUAGGCGGCUCUGCACGUCCGUUGUGAAAUCGCCCGGCUCAACUGGGCGGGGUCAGCGGAUACGGCGGAGCUUGAGCAAGCUAGGGGGCAAUGGAAUUCCCGGUGUAGUGGUGGAAUGCGUAGAUAUCGGGAGGAACACCAGUGGCGAAGGCGGCGACCUGGACAGGUACUGACACUCAACUACGAAAGCGUGGGGAGCAAACAGG